GUUUGUUAAGUCACACCCAUAACCUUGGUUGUAUUCUUUAUUUUAAAGCCAUGAUCAUAUUUUAUAAGAAAAUGAUACUGUUAAAAUGCUUGUUUGUAAGUAUAUAUUAUAACUUAAAUUAAUUAGAUAUACAUUUGAUACAACAUAGAUAAAAUGAGAUUCAUUUUUUUCUUUUUGCCAUCAGUAUCAUUUUGCGGAAAAGUCCGUGUCUGUUUCGGCAAUUACUUUUUUAAAGGAAAAAAUGAUUGCUAUUAUUUUCUGAAGGCCAGUGUGAGCACUGUAUGCAUAGUUUUAGAUGUUUUAUAUAGGGGUAAACUCCCUUAUACUGGUUGUGUUCAUAUUCCAUAAGCCCUUGUAAAUAAUUAUAUUUCAAACAACAACACAGUAUAAGAUUAAUACAUGUAAGUGUUAUCAUGCUUUGAAGAACUCACUUGAACAAUUAAGUACUGAGAUGAAUUGUAAGCAUAAUAUUUAACCUUUCAUUUUCUAGUCACAACCUAAGCAUAUUCAAACAUUGAACAUUACUUGUUAUUCAUAUGAUUUAUUUAAUCUGCAAAUAAAACAUUUUAAUUAAAUGUUUAUGAUUUAAUUUCCCUAUAUUCUUUACAAUCAAUUAUCUUUGCACAAUUUAAAGUUUGAGUUGCUAUACAAUAUGAUGUUAGAAGACUUUUAUUUUCUUAUGAAAGCUGCAUACAUUAUUGCAGUGGAGUCCUUAGCUUGGUGAAGUUAUAGUCUGCUCACUUGCGAAAACUCAAGCUUUAUGAGGCUGAGAUUACUGAUGCAAGUUUGUACGGUAUCUCGCAGUGUAGGGAUCUGCGAUGUCUGGAAAUCUCAUCCUGCAAGCGCUUGACAGACCAGUCACUGCAAUACUUGAAGAACUGUCAUAAUCUUGAAGACCUAUGCUUCUAUGGCUCUGACUUCACUAAGGCCGGAUUUAGUGCAUUCUUCAAGUCAGGGACAUUGGCACAUCUUCAUUCCCUUGAUGUGUCUGAGUGUAUAGCUAUCAAUGAUGAUAUGGUGUUGGACAUUGUGCAGUGCUACGGCCCCUGCCUGCGCAAGCUUGCACUGAGGUUAUGUUUGAACAUCUCUGACAGGGGACUGGCAUCUAUUAUGGAUCACUGCUG